AGAGUUUGAUCCUGGCUCAGGAUGAACGCUAGCUACAGGCUUAACACAUGCAAGUCGAGGGGCAUCAGGAAGAAAGCUUGCUUUCUUUGCUGGCGACCGGCGCACGGGUGAGUAACACGUAUCCAACCUGCCCUUUACUCGGGGAUAGCCUUUCGAAAGAAAGAUUAAUACCCGAUAGUAUAAUGAUUCCGCAUGGUUUCAUUAUUAAAGGAUUCCGGUAAAGGAUGGGGAUGCGUUCCAUUAGGUUGUUGGUGAGGUAACGGCUCACCAAGCCUUCGAUGGAUAGGGGUUCUGAGAGGAAGGUCCCCCACAUUGGAACUGAGACACGGUCCAAACUCCUACGGGAGGCAGCAGUGAGGAAUAUUGGUCAAUGGGCGCUAGCCUGAACCAGCCAAGUAGCGUGAAGGAUGAAGGCUCUAUGGGUCGUAAACUUCUUUUAUAUAAGAAUAAAGUGCAGUAUGUAUACUGUUUUGUAUGUAUUAUAUGAAUAAGGAUCGGCUAACUCCGUGCCAGCAGCCGCGGUAAUACGGAGGAUCCGAGCGUUAUCCGGAUUUAUUGGGUUUAAAGGGAGCGUAGGUGGACUGGUAAGUCAGUUGUGAAAGUUUGCGGCUCAACCGUAAAAUUGCAGUUGAUACUGUCAGUCUUGAGUACAGUAGAGGUGGGCGGAAUUCGUGGUGUAGCGGUGAAAUGCUUAGAUAUCACGAAGAACUCCGAUUGCGAAGGCAGCUCACUGGACUGCAACUGACACUGAUGCUCGAAAGUGUGGGUAUCAAACAGGAUUAGAUACCCUGGUAGUCCACACAGUAAACGAUGAAUACUCGCUGUUUGCGAUAUACAGUAAGCGGCCAAGCGAAAGCAUUAAGUAUUCCACCUGGGGAGUACGCCGGCAACGGUGAAACUCAAAGGAAUUGACGGGGGCCCGCACAAGCGGAGGAACAUGUGGUUUAA
rnacentral:rRNA from 1 species